rnacentral:rRNA from 1 species
UACGGAGGAUGCGAGCGUUAUCCGGAUUUAUUGGGUUUAAAGGGUGCGUAGGCGGACUGUCAAGUCAGCGGUAAAAUUGAGAGGCUCAACCUCUUCUCGCCGUUGAAACUGGUGGUCUUGAGUGGAUGAGAGGUACGCGGAAUGCGUGGUGUAGCGGUGAAAUGCAUAGAUAUCACGCAGAACUCCGAUUGCGAAGGCAGCGUACCGGCAUCCAACUGACGCUGAGGCACGAAAGCGUGGGGAUCAAACAGG